rnacentral:ncRNA from 1 species
UAAAAAACGUUGAUAGAGAAGAGUAGCUUACAUAAUCGCUAUGUAGGGAGAGAGUGCCAUAGACUGCAAGCAUUCUUAUAGUAGACGUAAGUGAAUUCACCUCUUGAGUUGACGCCAGGACCAUAUCAUAUGUAAAGGCGUUCCGGUUAAAAACCGUUAUUCAUGAAUGAAGUGGACAGACUUGUUCUGUCAAUUUAGGGUGGUACCGCGAAUUUACCUCGUCCCUUUU